CCAUAGGAGUUGUGCCUUUAGGAGUUUUAAGAAGUUAUUUAGGAGUUUUAAGAAGUUAUUUAAGAAGUGACCUCCAGGUCACAAAGAUAUUCUUCUAUGUUGUUUUCUAAUAACUCACAGAGAGGACAGGAGCAUGAGGCUCAGGUUCCUCCCAACAGAAGCCCCACGCUUUAGGAAUUGCAGAUGGACAUGGAGGAUAAAGAGUUUUGUUUUUUCUCCUUCAGAGGACCUCAUAAGCCAAGGGGAAGGCAACUAGGCAGAGAGGGCUUUAAUUAAAUUUUCUAUUUUUUAAUUUUUCUGAACUUCAGGGGUGCUCAUACUUCGCAUGAUGGAGGGAAUAGUUAAUGAGUGCAGGUUUCCCCCAGGAGGGCUGCCACCACAACGGCUUGAGAUGAGGCGGCCAGCAGCCCCCAUCUCUACUCCAGUCUGAUAAGCUGUGGUGUCAGGCACAGAGGCACCUGUGAAGUUGGAAGACAGUGGAAAGGAAGAAGGUGACAGCCUGUGCUGUCAUGAUAAUGUCAUGGUAUGGAGGGCCCUGGCCUCCGUCGUAGGGGGCCCAUGUGAAGGGUUGGCCUCCAUGGCCUGUGAGCAGGAGCCUGGCUCAGGGAACCUGGGGCCUCUAUUCUUGGCUGGGCUUUGCUUCCUGGGGCCAUCCCUUGAACACAUCACUCCUACAUGAUGAUGAAUUCUAGAAAAUUAAAGCAGGGCAGGGGGAGUUUGAAUGUCACCCUUUUUCUUACUGAUGAGGAAACAGACCCAGAAUGAGGAAGCAGCUUACGGAAAAUUGCAUGGUUUGUGGGCUGGAGACCCAGGGCCAGGGCUCCAGCUGCUUCACCUGGAAAAAUCCUGGACUUUGGAGACAGACAGUCCUGGGUUUGAACCUAGCUCUAAGAGCCAUUUAUUAAAUAAUUUCACAAAUAAAGGUGAUGUUUGCCACCAUGGUCAGUGCUUUAAGUGAAUCUACUCAGAGCUGUGAAAUCUUGGGGGAAUUUGACCCAGUCACAGUUGAGAGAAGGUUCUGGAAGGAUAUGGGCUAAGGUCUACAGAUGAAUAAAAGUUAAGCUGGUAGAGAGGGAAGAGCUUGUAGGAUGGACAGAGGGAUGGUUGGAUGAGUGACAUGAGCCUGAGUUUAAGAGGUUGACUAUUUCUUCACCCUGUCCUCUCUCUUAGCCUGUGAAGGCUUGCUGGUAAAUUGCUAAAUCUGGCAGAGAAUGAGGAAAGGAAGAUCUCUUUCCCUGGCUAUCAAUUGUUUGAGUGUUUCACUUAAAGUUGAGCACCUGUUCUAUUGAAGUGCCCACCUCUGUUCCUCUCCAUUUCUUUGAACCCUAUCACUGGUCCUUGGGAAGGGUAAAUGCAAAAGAAAAAAAAAGUGAAAGCAGUGUUAAUCAUGCUGAAAUGUAAUGCGCCCCUCUGAACCUUGGAAGAUGAGAAAUUAUACAUGCUGAUUUCAUCCGCUACUUAACUCAGGGGGUGACAGGCUGCAAUUGAAGAGGCUUUGGCAGGUUAAGUGCUGCAAACCCUUGCCCAGGCUCUUAAGCAUCUCUCGGAAACCUCUGAGACUCGUUGGUAAUUUGGUGGUGUCAUUUGGAGUGACUCCUGGCCCUGCCAGCUGCAGGGACAGUUCCCAGUUAAAAAAAAAAUGAUUUCAUUCUCAGCUAGGAUGUGGUCUGUUCUUUUUUUGUCUGGGGACCGGAGACUGUUAAGGGAAAAGAGAGUGGGGAGGAGAUUCUGCAAAGAAAUAAAAGCAGACAAGAAUGGGCUUGUGUACAUUGCAACCACCAAAGCCCCCUCAACAAAGCUUCAUCAUUACUGGAAUCAGGAAAGAAAAGGGAGAAAACUAACAUUUAUUUGACAUUUACUGUGUACCAAGUACCUGUCAUUCCUGAACGUAUUGACUCCACACAUCUCCGCGAGACAGCUGUUGUUAUGUGGAGAAAUUAGGCUAAUUAAUUUGCCCACUACGAUGAUGACAACAAUGAUGACGAUGGUGAUAAAAGCUUAUAUUUAUAUGGCAGAGACUAUUAUAAACUCCUUAUCUGCAUUAUUCACUCCUCACAAUAACCCUGUGGGGGGCCAUGAUGGGCCUAAGGAGGAGGAAGGGCCCAUGGGCUGGGAUUUUCCUUCAUCAAAGACCAGCAAACUCUUUAUUCUUUAGGAAGAAAGUUGUCACAACAAAGGGACACUUACCUAAUGUGUAAUGGGUAUUUUGGGGUAGAUAUAGUGCUUAUCCCAGCUCAAAGCCUCUUGGGGCUGCAAUUUUUAGUGCCAGGAGUUGGAAAACAAUUUUCUAUUUAUACUUUGCUAAAUCCUUGUAAUUACAUAUAUUUUCCUGAAAGUCUGAGUGGCAAUCACAUAUUUAUCCUCGCAAUCAAAGCCAUUGUGGAUUAUCAGGUAAAUACCUCAUUAGUAAGAUUUUGAAACAUGUCUCCCAACAGUUUUUGCUUUCUUCAUAAAAACAACUAAAUUUUAAAGAAAAAGCAAUGUAUCUGUUGUACUGUAAAUUCCUCUAGCUAAUUUUGAUUAUCCCUAUCAAAUGCACUUGAGAAAAGAGAUUUACAAAGUGGUAAAUUAUGAAGACUGAUAUUUAAAGCAAAUGUAGGACAAUUAGUACAGUAGACAGGACCACAGGCAUGAGUGUUAGACUGGGCUGGGGUUAAACUGUCACUGUGGCAUUUACAGAUGUGUAACUUGGGGCCUCAGUGUGAUAGAAGCCUCAGUUUUCUUGUUGUAAAAUUAGGAUGAAAAUACUUCAAAGAGUUACUGGAUUAAAUUAGAUAGUGCAGAUGUCAUGUAACAGAUGUUUAAUAAGUGCUCAUUAUUUUUUGUUUUCAUUGUUAAAUAAUAUCAUAUAAUAUUUCAUUGCCCACUAAUAAAUUGGCCUCAUUCAGAUUUUUACCAUAGCUUUCCCAUACCUACGGAGAUUUUAGGUAGAGCUACAUGAAUUUUGGAG
rnacentral:lncRNA from 1 species